UUGACCUCGAAUCAGGUAGGAAUACCCGCUGA
rnacentral:rRNA from 4 species